rnacentral:misc_RNA from 1 species
GAUGAAGAACGUAGCGAAAUGCGAUAAGUAAUGUGAAUUGCAGAAUUCAGUGAAUCAUCGAAUCUUUGAACGCACAUUGCGCCCGCCAGUAUUCUGGCGGGCAUGCCUGUUCGAGCGUCAUUUCAACCAUCAAGCCCCCGGCUUGUGUUGGGGACCUGCGGCUGCCGCAGGCCCUGAAAUGCAGUGGUGGGCUCGCUGUCACUCCGAGCGUAGUAGUUACAUCUCGCUCUGGGCGUGCUGCGGGUUCCGGCCGUUAAAAGCCUUAUUUACCCAAGGUUGACCUCGGAUCAGGUAGGAAGACCCGCUGAACUUAAGCAUAUCAAUAAGCGGAGGA